rnacentral:tRNA from 1 species
GCGGGAGUCGCACAAUGGUAGUGCACCGGCCUUCCAAGCCGGCUAUGCGGGUUCGAGCCCCGUCUCCCGCUCCA